rnacentral:rRNA from 1 species
UACGGAGGGUGCGAGCGUUGUCCGGAAUCAUUGGGCGUAAAGGGCGCGUAGGUGGCCACUUCAAGCGUGCGGUGAAAGUCGGGGGCUCAACCCCUGAUCGGCCGUGCGAACUGGGGGGCUGGAGCACUGUAGAGGCAGGCGGAAUUCCGGGUGUAGCGGUGAAAUGCGCAGAUAUCAGGAGGAACACCGGUGGCGAAGGCGGGUCUCUGGGCCGUAACUGACGCUGAGGAGCGAAAGCGUGGGGAGCGAACAGG